GGCGGACGGGUGAGUAAUGCCUGGGAAAUUGCCCUGAUGUGGGGGAUAACCAUUGGAAACGAUGGCUAAUACCGCAUGAUGCCUACGGGCCAAAGAGGGGGACCUUCGGGCCUCUCGCGUCAGGAUAUGCCCAGGUGGGAUUAGCUAGUUGGUGAGGUAAGGGCUCACCAAGGCGACGAUCCCUAGCUGGUCUGAGAGGAUGAUCAGCCACACUGGAACUGAGACACGGUCCAGACUCCUACGGGAGGCAGCAGUGGGGAAUAUUGCACAAUGGGCGCAAGCCUGAUGCAGCCAUGCCGCGUGUGUGAAGAAGGCCUUCGGGUUGUAAAGCACUUUCAGUUGUGAGGAAGG
rnacentral:rRNA from 1 species